AUUGAACGCUGGCGGCAGGCCUAACACAUGCAAGUCGAGCGGAGCGGCGGACGGGUGAGUAAUGCCUAGGAAUCUGCCUGGUAGUGGGGGAUAACGUUCGGAAACGGACGCUAAUACCGCAUACUAUCAGAUGAGCCUAGGUCGGAUUAGCUAGUUGGUGAGGUAAUGGCUUACCAAGGCGACGAUCCGUAACUGGUCUGAGAGUAUGAUCAGUCACACUGGAACUGAGACACGGUCCAGACUCCUACGGGAGGCAGCAGUGGGGAAUAUUGGACAAUGGGCGAAAGCCUGAUCCAGCCAUGCCGCGUGUGUGAAGAAGGUCUUCGGAUUGUAAAGCACGUUAAGUUGGGAGGCGUUACCGACAGAAUAAGCACCGGCUAACUCCGUGCCAGCAGCCGCGGUAAUAC
rnacentral:rRNA from 1 species